rnacentral:rRNA from 1 species
UACGUAGGUGGCGAGCGUUGUCCGGAUUUACUGGGCGUAAAGGGAGCGUAGGCGGAUUUUUAAGUGAGAUGUGAAAUACUCGGGCUCAACUUGAGUGCUGCAUUUCAAACUGGAAGUCUAGAGUGCAGGAGAGGAGAAUGGAAUUCCUAGUGUAGCGAUGAAAUGCGUAGAGAUUAGGAAGAACACCAGUGGCGAAGGCGAUUCUCUGGACUGUAACUGACGCUGAGGCUCGAAAGCGUGGGGAGCAAACAGG